CAUAUCCAUCCCAAUUCAAGUUCUAGCUGAUGUCAUGCAGGGACUAAGGUUAUAAUGGAUAUACUCCACAUACCUAUGACUUCCAACUCUGCUUCUCACUGUGUUAUUCAUGGUUUAUUACAUUGUUUUUAGCAACUAUUUUGAUUACUUUUCUGCUUUGGAGAAAACUAAUGUAUGCAAAAUUUUAUUAUCAUUUUAAAAAUUCCAUUAAUGUCCAUUAUAAAAAUUACAUUUACUUAUUUUUUUCUUUUUUUGGAGCCUAUUUACAUUUUCCAGAAGCAGCUUUACAAGUAUUUUGUUCCAUAAUAAUGCAGAUGCUAAUUUCUGAGGAAUUCUGAUGAAAAGAGGUGGAGUAUAACAGAAUAUAGGACACUGUAAGUGUGUUUCUUUAUAUCAUGAGAGUGUGUUUGGUAGGGGUAACCAACAUGCUCCUAAACAAGCAGACCAAACUUGCUUUUAGUAACAAAAAUUAUAAUUGAAAUCUAUUUUUUUUUAAAGCAGAGUUGGAAUUUUUCAAACCAUACAAUACCAUUUUACCAGGCUUUCUACAAAUUUGGGCAUUGUCUAUUAAAAUAUAUUAUGUGACUACUUUGAUAUUUUCUUUUUGUCUGCUAUUAAUGACAACAGGAAUCCUGUUAAAAUAAGAAUUCAAAAUAAUGCUUAAAGGAGAAAAUAUUCAUUAUUCUCCCAGUCUUGAAUAGUUUUCGAUACCACAUUGGUGUUUCAUUGAUAACAGUGAGUUGGUUGAGUCAAAAUUUGCUCAUGGUCAACUCCAAUAUCUUUGCAAACUAGUAUGCAACAUUAUUUAGACAUAUUCUUAGUGUCAGAACAGCUUGUUAAAAUAUAGGUAAAUAUUUCAUUUAAUUGUCAAGGUACUUUAUUGUUUACAAUCAAUGACUUGUAGAGGCUGCUGCUCAGGUUUCAUGCAAUUCUUAGCUACAUGCUAGAAGAUACCAAGCAACAGUUCUUAAGCUAAAGAUCAUAAAGUAAAGUAAGAACAGCAGGAAGGAAAAAUAAUCUUUCUUUUUUUAUUUUUUUUAUGUAGUGCAGCAAGUUGGGAAGAAUAAACUAAUGUGUUUAUAAUCUAUGAAAAUACCUUUAAUAAAAUCAAAUCUGACUGCAAGUUUUUUGAAGAUCAGUUGUAGUGUUUCAGUUAUAGUGCUUCCCUAAAGAUUUAAAUCUGAAAGAGAGAAGAAAGGAACAUAUGAAAGAUGUUUAAAUAUAUAUGUAUAUAUGUAUUCUAAAAUGAGUACAUGUAGUUGUAAGUACAUCCAGGGCCAUUCCAUCAUGUUCAAACUGUGGUAGAAAUAUUUCCCUUUACCUCAGGAUAACAAAUGUAUUGGCAAAAUGGACUAACUUCAACAGAGAGCACAUGGAACACUCAGAGCUGAGCAUUUGCCUGUGGAGAAGGGGCUGAAGGACCAGAACUGGCUCAUCCUAAAGAACAUAGAACUUAGGGGGCCUAACUGCACCUCCCCAGUGCACUAGGUUUUUUUGGAAAACAAAGACAGAGCCUUUAUAACCAUUCUUGGCAGGGUAAAGAGACAAUGGAUACAAACUGCAGUAAGAAAGUUGUUUCCUCCUCAGAGAGUCUGUGUUCUCUGUCCUUUGUGGUUUUUAAAUCCUGACUGAACACAGCUCUGAGCAACCUGGUCUGACCUCAUAGAUGACAAUGCUCUGAGCAAGCAGCUGGACUGGCAGUCUUUAACAUGAAAUAGACUCUGCUUCUGUGACUGUGGUAAAACAAGCAUAAGAUCACUGCAGAUUUUCCUGUCAGCUUAUACUGGGUUUUUUGCAGUUAAAGCUGAUCACUGAAAUGAUGCUGUGUAGAAGAUCAGACAGCUGCAGAAGCUGAGCUUGGUAGCACUGCAGACCACCUGGCCCUGGUACAAUGGAGGCAAGAGAGGUGAGAGAGACAAACUCAAGUCAAGAACAAGAAGUGAAGACACCAUGUCUGAUCACUCUCAUCAGAGAUGAUGUGGACAAGGACAUCACUGACGCUAAAGGUUGUAACCGGGGUUAAAAAGAUUGUGUUGCUAAGGAAACGGGAGCAAGGGUGUCUGAGUAGAAAAUUUUGUGUGGAAGUUAAAGAACUAUAAAUAUUGGUGAUUAGUGUAAUAAACUGGCUUUGUCUUGCU